UACGGAGGGGGCUAGCGUUGUUCGGAAUUACUGGGCGUAAAGCGCGCGUAGGCGGAUUUGUAAGUCAGUGGUGAAAUCUCCGAGCUUAACUCGGAAACUGCCAUUGAUACUAUUUGGCUUGAAUAUUGUGGAGGUAAGCGGAAUAUGUCAUGUAGCGGUGAAAUGCUUAGAUAUGACAUAGAACACCAAUUGCGAAGGCAGCUUACUGCGCAAUGAUUGACGCUGAGGCACGAAAGCGUGGGGAUCAAACAGG
rnacentral:rRNA from 1 species